GGUCACCCCCCUCCAGAAGUGGUGUGGCUCCAUGACGGACAGGAAGUGGCAGAGUCGGAGGACUUCCAGCUUGUCAGGGAGGAGAACCGCUUCACUCUGCUGAUCAAGGAGGUUUUCCCUGAGGAUACGGGCACGUACAGCGUCCAGGCCUGGAACCAGCAUGGAGACGACUCCACACAGGCCCACCUCACUGUGGAGGAACCUCGGAACGGUGUCCAACCAUGGUUCAUCACCAAACCCAAACCAGUGAGCGCCACUGUGGGUCAAAACGUCCUCCUGUCGUGUGCCAUCACUGGAGACCCUUUUCCCCACUACACCUGGACCAGAGCGCACCUGAGCCGACCUCUGACCUCAGGAGAUGACUACGAGCUGCUGCAGAAAGAGGACGUCAUCUCGCUGCUGAUCAGGAGAGUGAAGAAACAUCAUGCUGGAGAUUAUGUGAUCAGCCUGAG